UUAUUUAAGAAAUAAUUCUGACGGCUUCCCUACAAAGAAAGAGGAACGCAUUGAGGUUUUUCAGAAAAAAAUCUUCAUUAAAGUAAAUUGAAAUUGUAUAUCCUUAUUGAAUUUUACGUCGUUGGAAAAUCGUGAAUAUUUCGUGAUAUUUUUCAUUGAAUCUACUCUGUAUGAGUCAUCAAUGAUUGGUUCGUAACUUUUGACGAGAACGAAGCCAUAACAAUACAUAGAACUAAGUUGAGCGAAAACUAGAGAUAGUAAUUAUUUUAAUCAUGGUGGAUGUGGCGAGACAACUGCUCGAUGAGCUGAUGGGACGGAACAGAAAUUUGGAUCCAUCAGCAAAAAGUAAAGAACUAAAUUGGGAAGAUGAUGAGUUCUGUGCUUACUUCAUCGUGAAAUUUUGUCCACACGAUUUGUUCGUGAAUACACGUGCUGACUUGGGUCAGUGUGGUAAACUUCAUGACGAGGAAGCAAAAAAGCUGUACGAGAAUGCCAAACCAAGUCGCAAAAAGAUUCAGUAUGAGGAUGACUUCCUGCGCUUUUGCACUAACAUGAUCAACGAGGUGGACCGAAAGAUAGUAAAAGGUAAGCAAAGACUUCUUUUGAUGAAUAGCAAGUUGGAGGGACGGCCCGUCUCGAAGCAGCAGGAGCAGAUAAAUACGAUGAACGAGAAAAUCAAUAAACUAAUGCGCGAAGCAGAAGAAGCCGGUAUCCGAGGAGACGUCGAACAGGCUCAGGGUUUAAUGCAAAUGUGCGAUCAACUAAAGGAGGAAAAGGAUGCAUUAGUUAAGCAGCACGAAUCAAACGGUUGGUCAGUGACAGCGGAAAUUGCAGCUGCCCAAGAGAAACAAAUGGAAGUUUGCGAGGUUUGUGGGGCAUUUCUUAUUGUUGGCGAUGCACAGCAACGUAUUGACGAUCAUCUCACAGGAAAGCAGCAUUUGGGUUAUUCCAAGCUACGGAAAGCUGUAGAGGAAAUGAUGGAAACUAGACGAAAGAACGCAGCAAGACCAGAGGAACGACGCCGGGAAGAAGUACGUGUCGAUAGGCGCGAUAGACGUCGUGAGGAACGUACUGAACGUGCGCCAAGAUUGCCUUCAAAAUGCACUGUUUCUUCUUCUGUAGAGAAUACGAAGAGUAUCGCCACAAACGUGAUGAUAGACGUCGCGAGCGCCGGGACUACCGUGAGCGAGAUUUUGAGCGCUACGAAAAGCGCGAGCGUGAUCAUCGAAGCUACGGCGAUCGUCAUCACCGACGAUCCGAGCGCCAUCGUAGCAGAAGCCGCAGCCAUUAAACCAUCAAUGGAGCAGUUCGAAUGUACGGAUCAUCAGAACAAUUUUUAUUGUAGUGAACGUAAACUACAGUGCUUUGAUUGUUCUCGCUAUAUAACAACUUUUCAAUAGAGGUAUCCCAAGCUACACAAAAUAAAAUACUAGACCAAUAUUAUUAAUUCAACUGCUUUCGAGGUUAAAAUCAACUGAGAUAAACUGAACGGUCAUGUUCAAACUCCGCUCGAUACAUGUCAGUUGGUUAGAUAGCGAUGAAAUACUUUUACUUUGGAGAUCACUAUACCCAUCAGGUUAGUGUCACCGUAGGCUGAAAUCAAACUGUUCUAGAACUAACGUUGCAGGCUAAAAUAUUGUGAUCGAUGCAAUGUGAUGAGCUAUGAUUUUUUGGUUCGAUUCGCGGUUCCAAGAGCGCCGUGUUGUGUUGAAACAACUCGUAUAAGGUAUACUAUUUUAGUUUAGUCAUUGAAUCCAGAAAGACUUGAACAUAAAUAUAGACCGUUUGAGUGUUUUACAGUUGUGUGAGCCUUGGCAACGGUUUUCCGAUCGAUCUGACGAAAAAAAUUAGAAAGGUAUUUACUGUGUCUUAAUCAGCUAUUCCAGUCGAAUUUCAUCCAUGAACUUAUAGUUUUUUGACCGUGCACUAUCGGCAUGAACAAGUUGCAGCUCCAACAGCUUAGAUCAAAAAAGGGAGAAUGGAUUCUGUUAAAGAGGUAUAUUAGGUAUAUCGAAGGUUUUUUUUAAGUCACAAACCAAGUUUAUGCAAACUGCGACUUCAAUAUUUGGUAGGGAACCAAUGGUCUUCAUGUGUCAUCGUAGACGCUGUACUAGGUAUUUAUAACAAAAUACAAAAUACCUUGUUCUUUAUGUUGGCUCUAUGGAUAGGAUAUUCGAAUGAAAGAAAUUUGAUCGCAUGUUGUUAGGUAUUAUUAAAUACUUAUACCAGAAAAUUACCUUUCUCUCUACCAAACAGAAUUGUGGAAAAAAUAUAAACAAACGUCUCUACCAGGUUGGCGAGACUGUACGCCAGCACAACGAAUCAUCCAAUUUCUACCAUCAACUGUUUUCGGCGACGAGAGUCAUGGAAUGGGAAACUUUUCCAAUAGUAUAAAAAAAAUCUCAUAUCCGAUAGAAUAUCUCUUUCUCUUCUUGAAGCUUGAAGAGUAUUGUAGUACACUCGUCUCUUUAAACACGGUUGUUUAUGCGACUUUUUAUGCUAAUUUUGAAAGCUAUGCAGUUUUCUUGUUUCGUCUUAGAAAUGCAUGAAACGUCGAGAUCUAAUGUUAUCCCGAUAACAACACUCGAUUCCGGAAAUCCCUGAAUUUUCAGUUAAAUGUUCGUCGAAGACUUUUUCUUCGAGAUAACAACCACAUAUCGACGUUUUGUGCAUUUCUAAGCAGGGCUUGUAUUGUGAAUCUUCAAACGAGCGAAGCAACAAAAAAACAUCAGCUGUGAACACUUUGCUUGAAAUUGCUGACUAUGAGACACUUUGCUUGAAAUUGCUGACGGAUGAACACAUUUUGACAAUUCAGCAGUACUGUUUGUAAACAGAUAUUUUUUUGUUUGUCUAUUGACAAAUUGGAUGAGAGCAUUCACGGUCCAUAUCGCCUAAAUAAAAUAUUAAAACAUUUGCUCACGAUUUGAUACGGUUUGUUUUUGAGAUUUAUUAAAUAAAAGUGACUAGUUGCAAAGUGUAAAGAUGAUAGGUUGAAAUGUGUUCUUCGAUUUUUGUUUAAGCUUGUUUGUAAACAGUACCGCUGAACUGUCAAGGAUGAAUUUUUGUUCAUCCGUGACGUCACGAUAAAAAAUUCAAUGUUACUAGCAGACCAGUUCUCUUGCUUGGUAAAUUGCUCUCAGUCUCAGUUAACACAUGAAUAAAGCAUUAUAUGGCAAUUAGGUUUUUUAUCGUGACGACACAAAUGAACAAGUAUUCAUCCUUGACAGUUCAGCGGUACUGUUUACAAACAAGCUUAAACAAAAAUCGAAGAGCACAUCUAAAACAAUCAUUUUUACACUUUGCAACUAGUCACUUUUAUUUAAUAAAUAUUAAAAACGAACCGCAUUCAAUCGUGAACCAAUGUUUUAAAACUUUAUUUAGGCUAUACGGACCGUAAAUGGUCUGAUCCAAUUUGUCAAUAAACAAACAAAAGAAAUUUCUGUUUACAAACAGUACUGCUGGACUGUCAAAAAGUGUUCAUCCGAUUGAGGUUAGCAGUGACGGUAAAAAACCUAAUGCAAUGAAAUGAACGGUUUCGCUCUCGUUAAUAUCGUACGAAGAUGAAAAACUUUGCUUCAUGGCGUGUUACAAGACGCGAAGCAAGGUCAUAUAGGCAAUGUUUACGGUGUGUUUUUUCAGUGUAUGUUUACAGAAAUCAUUCUUAGACCAAAUUUGAUCACAUUUCAAAACUGUUUUUAACAUGUAUAGAAUAAAUUUUGCUUUUGAAUCCAUUUUAAAAGCGAUCUAUUUGUUUCUUAGGACUUUACAUUGUGUGUAUAUCCUAGAAACACUAAAAUCAAUGCGCUUUAAAUUAAUAUUCAUCGGAACUUAAAGUUAUGAAUCUAGUAUUCUCAUAGUCAUCUUCAAUAUAUCAACCAUUCAUUGAAUGGUAACCUCAUGAAGCAUAGUUAUCAGCUGGUGCACAUAUUCACGAACUAAUGAACGAACGAAGCAGCUCUCCUUGCUUGGGUUGCGCUGUGAAUUCUACCCGACAUACGAAUGUUCGAGAAUAGCACAGAGGGCGAUAAUCUAUUGUUAAUAUUCGUUGCAAUUCAAUUUGCAAACCAAUUUGAUUCUAAGACAUUUGCCAUCAAAUUUCAAAUUUUACAUAGGUUUCUUUUGAGGUGCUUAUUCUUUUUAGCACUACCGUUUUACGAAGUAAGAGAUGACAUUUUUUAUUGGCACCCUAAUAAAUAACUUUGAUUCCAUGAAAACUACACUCAGAAAAAAAAUUCUGGAAAAAUUUCUCUGAUUUAUAAGAAAUUACACUUAUAUGGUUCAUUUAAACAGUAAACUGAGUUGUAUCAUGAUACAAAUAAGAUCGUAGAUCAAUUUAACCAAUUUUUUUUCUUGAUAUGAAGGUAUAGCAGGAUUGAAUCAACAUUGACAUUGCCGAUAACAUCAAUUCAUUUUUUCUUGAUAUGUAAUAAAUAGUUAGUUUAUUUCAACAAUAAAAUCAGCCGAAAGAAAUAUUUUUUUCGUUUUCGGUUGUCCCAAAUUUCGAUUCAAAUCAAACAGAGAUCAUUGUGGAUGUUGAAGAGAGAAAUUGGUACAAAACAAUCAUACUCUCUAGCUAGCAAUCAACAUAAAUCAAAUCUAAAAAUGUACUAACUGCUUUGUUAAUUUGAACAUGUUCUAUUUCUCUGCGUGUAGAUCGGGUGGCACACUGAGAAUAACUUAGAUUUUUUAUUACAAGCUUUGCUCUUUUAUACCUUAGUUUUGAACUAUAAAUGGCAAAAACAAACUAUGAAUAUCAACCAACAACUUCUCGAAUUUCAUAAUAAUCUUACGUUCUUCGUACCAACAUCAUAUUAUUUUACCAUGACAGCCAUAAAAAUUUCAUUGAAACAAUAUUAUGUAUGACAUAACUAUUGCAAUUUAUUGAGGAAAGAAAGAAUUUAUUGAUUUGACAUUUUUGAGCUACCUAAGCACCGCCAGUUCGAAAUCCAAUCCCAAAUCAAAAUAUAAUUCCAGUUCACGUGGACAGCAUAAAUAGAAAUAGCAUCAAUUAGUUCGGGAUUUGUCCAGCAAAUUGGUUAUAUCCACUCCACACUCUGAACGUAAAAAGAUGACAUGUCAUAAUUUUGUCUUAUGAUUUCGUCGUUACAAAAAAUGCGAACGAGGAAGGAAUAUUUUCGGAUCGGGAAAAUUAAUAAAUGAAUUAAUCUCGCCAAUUUUGUUAUUCCAGCUUUGAAACCAAUUGUUAAAAUUAGCUUCGGAGAGGAUUUUUUGGAGAACCGUCUUGGAUCAAGAAUAUAUCACAACGAAAGGGAAAUCAUUUUUAUGUCGAUUGAGGCGAAAAUUAAGUCGUUAAAACCCAAAUAUAUGUGAUGGGAUUAGUUUUUAGUAUGGAUUGGUUCAUACUGAAAAUAUCUUCGAAAUGUUUUUUUAAAAGUGGGAUCAUGAAAUGUAAAAAAAUCUGAACUGAAUUACAAAUAAAAAAAAUUAUUACGAAAUGAUUAUCUUAAUACGUGACCAUUGAAAUUCUUAAAGACAUUUUUGUGAACUUGAUAAGACUAUCUUAGUAGAAGUAUUGCACUUAGGUUUCUUUUUACGCGGCGGAUCGUACCGCGUUAAAAGAAACUUAAAAGUCGCAUAGAAACCGCGUAAAAAAGGCCUCAGUGUAUAGAAUAGUCCAAUUCGCCGUGAGUAUUUCAAAUGGGCCAAAAUUUUCUGCGUUAUUUUACAAAUGAUCGGUAACUAUCUAAUAUUGAUAGCUAAAUGUCAGUUGUAGGUGUCAUUCUACACAAAAAAAAAAUUGAUGAGUUAUUAACAGUAGAGAAAAAAUUAUCAUGUCAGUUUUAUUCGUAUUCAUGUCAACCAGUUAUGUUUCUGACAUUACUCACCAGCUUUUUCAUCAAGAAGCAAUGAAAAAUUAACCCAUGAUUUUUUUAUUUAACGAUAUAUUUAAUAAGGCAGACUAACUUAGCUCUUAAAUGCCGAGGGCAUUUCUUAACAGUACUUAAGACUAGUAUAAUUUCGUGAAUUAUAUAGUUGUUGGUUGAAAAUCUGGGAGAUCCAGUCUUAUAUUGUUGGUCGAUAGUUGCUAGUGUAUUGAAUUUUACAUGGGGGAUUGUCCAGAUGACAUGCGUGCUUCGAUGGUGGCCAUAUCCUCUUGUUUUUGGGAAUCCGAGAGAAACACCUCCGUGCUUCGAAGACCCGGCGGAUGGCCCGCCUUCCGUGGGCGAUGAUGGUGAUGUUACGGAAGGGAAUGACAGAAACUUAUAGAAGUAAAUGUUGUGGAAAAAGCGGGUAUGAGAAGUGAAUGACUAAGACCGACAAGAGGGAGCAAAAAAGUUAUUGACAGCAAAAAGAUCUUGUUAGUUUCGAUGAAGAUGGUGGAGACAGAUCAACACAAGACAUUGUUUUGCAUUCAUUGUUUUAAAAAUAAGCUUCACUUAAAUGGCUGUUACUUUUUUAUGACUAAUCGAAAUGUCAUGAAAUUUCUAACAUAGUCUCUUGAAAGUUGGUAAUUCAUAAGCGUCAUAUGCAUUUGAUAUUGGUAGCGCCAUCUGUGUUUCAGUAACACGACUUAUUGAGUCAUAUGUUAACUAAUUAUUUUAUGACGAAACAUUACUGUCACCAUGUUUGCUCCAGCGUAACUUACAAAAUUUUUUCGUACUCUUAUUGCAACAUAGUUUGGACAUAGUCGUAUCAGAAUUGGAAUGUUUAAUUGCGCAAAUCGACUUCGACUGUUCCUGGACACCUUUUUCAACGCUGGUAUGUGCGAGGUAGCCCUUUUGUUGGGUGUGUUGGCACAUUGUCGCAAAACUGAAUUACCGGUGGCGACUUCUGCAAAUGAAAAAUUAAACCAAGAAAAGGGAGGUUUAUAUCAGCCGUAUUGAUUUGGAACGAUUUUUUCGUUUAUUCAAUAGUACAAAUAGAUAUCAGCAAUAAAAGGGAACUCGCAGUAGAAGAAGAUCGGUUUCAAAGCGAUUACUACUACUUUUUUUUAAGGGUAAACUACGAUUAAACAUGGAAAAUCUGUGAAAUUGAGUUAAUUUUUUUUUCGGACCAACAUUUUUCAAAGCGAAACCAAUCUAAUGUUGAUUUCUCGUGAACUAGAAUGUUAGGCGAUCGAGUGCCAUUUAUUUUGGAUACUUUAUUUAUUAUUUUCGGGCAUUUGAAAAAUGGCAUUAAACCAAGCACUCCAUUCUAAAUAAACGUUAGUUUUCGCACAAUAAAUUAAAAUCAACAUUACCAUCUCAGAGUAAAUUUUGUUUCCUCCACUUCUGCAAUCUUUUUUCAAAUAAGUUUACCCGUUUUUAUAAGUCAUUAAAAUGUUUUCCACCAAUUUGACAGCUCUUGCUGACAGUAUCAUCUUUAAACAAGCAGCGCUUCUAUAUUUCAUUUUAGCGUCAUUGUACCAAUAGUGAUUUGCAACGAUUUUUCCAGUUUUUUUUUUCUCAAAAAUACAAAUAGAUCGGAGCUCAACCCUGGGAGGGUGAGAAAAUGAUUCUAAAACUGAAAAUUUGCAGAAAUGUGUAAAAAUUGGGUUAGGUUAAUUUUUUAGUCGACGAACAUUUUUCAAACCGAAACCAUCAUCAUCUCGAGCACCAGUACUGUUUAACAAUCGAAUACCAUUUAUUCUGAAUACUUUACUUACUAUUCUCGGACAUUAGAAAAAAUGGUAUUGAUCCAAUUUAAAAAUCCUUUCUAAAUUACGGUUAGUAGACACAUGGUUUGGAAAGAAAUCAUCAAAUACUGCAGCAACAUGAUGAAGAUGCGUUUUUUUUAUGUCGACUUAUGAGACCUGGCAACAUUAAUUUUUUUGUAUAAAUUUCACUGCCAACUUCGUUCUCUGUUAUGAUGAACUCUCACUGGACUCAAUAACGAGCACUGGAUCCUUUGAAAUUUCCCUUCAAAAUUGGAUGUUAACAGCAUAUUUUGGACUUUUUUGACAUUAAAACUGCCUUACUCUUCACUAUACGUGGCCGGAUGUCAAUUAAAAAUUAGAAAACUGGCCGUGUUAGAUUUUUCGUCAUAAUUUUAAACGCUAAUAACUGAGUGUUCUGUGGAUGGAUUUAUAUAAUUUAACUACAAAUCGAUUCGGAAACAUUUAACUUAAACAUGUAUGGCAACGUUGUUUAAGUAUUUCAAUAGCAUACUAUUAAAACACUGGUUUGAAUCGACCUGUUUUCACUAACCAAUCACAGCAAGGCAAAUGAUGUCAUGCUAUUGAUUUUUCCUGCACCGCCGACGGUUUCGAUCGUUCGUCUGCACCUAAGCAAAGUCUUGGCAUUACAUUCCUUUUGUGGAAUUUGGCCUUUCUGUUUCAACAGACUUCGCAGCCGAUUCUUAGUGUACAGAAUCAUUGCAUGGCUAGUACUAUGGAUCCUACUGACACUAAGAACCCUUCCAGGUCGGGGCUCGAACUCGUCUGCACCUAGAAUUCCGUAUAAAUAUAUGCAAUCUUACAAUUUUAAACUUUAAUCGGCAGUUAGCCGCGAACGAAGCUGGUAGCUUGUCGCACUCCGGAUGUUUGCUUUUUGAGGUGUGUGAAUGUCAUUUUAUUCCAUCUGCUGCACUUCGUGUUGAGUAUAUUGAUUCUGUUGAUUCUACGGGAACUGGCAGGCCAAUUCAGAACUUUCGGCGAUAGAUUUUUUGAACCUAAUUUGAAGCGCUUGUAUCUCGGUAAUUUGUUGAUGGGCUUGUCAUAUUUAAUAUGUGAGCAGUGCGGCACUGUAUUCCAAAUAUGUGCUCGUUUGUGUGGGUGUCACUGCAUUGCAAUUCGCUAUUAAUUUAGAUUCACCGGUGAGCAAUUGGAUUGCUAGUGUUAUGUUAAUUUGAAGAUGGAAUUAUAUUAUUUAUCUAUGAACAUUAGAUUAGGUUGCGAUUGCGCUGGUCUUGAAAAGAAAUCUCUAUUUACGAACGGAAGCCGAAGCUUGCAAAAAGAUACAAAGAAUAUUAUUACAAACACUUCUUGAACGCAGUUGACGAUUAAAUAUUAGUACCGUAAGUGUUCCACAAUUAUUUGCUUAUUGUUCAAAUUUAAAUCUGUUUGAUGAGAGAGUUUCUGAAUUGUAUUUUUAAUAUCAUUAUGGUCGGUCGUGUCUCGUACACAACUUAGUAUUAUUAUUUUUAUAUAUAAUGAUAACAGUUAUAUAAUAGCCUAAAUGCUUUCUGCAAAACUUAUGCAGUUUUGUUAUACUAUUUUUAUGCAAGAGAUAUUUUGUCAAUAGUCGAGUUGAGAGAUGUGAGCUAGCAUUAUUGUCGAUCAAAAACGAUCAUGUCAAAACUAUGGGUUAGGGUUUAGAACUACGACUUGACCGCAUGGUCAAGGGUAUUCGGGUAACUUGAACAGGUAUUGACCGAACAACAUUUUUCGAUCAAAUUUCAUUCAAAUCAAUGUCCUAUUCCUCCAGAAGGCACCAUUUCGAUAAAAUGCUAUCCAAGCUGCUAAAAGACUAGGCGGUGGGUUUACUUGAUCAACAUUGAAAGUUUUCGCAUUUGUAAUCCUGUGCCAGUAUAUGUUGGAAUCAGCCUCCCCCCUGGAAAAAAGAUUGUCGCAAAAUAUGCCAUCUGAUACAAUCACACAAGUGCGACGCAAAUGAAUUGAUCACGAUGCGCUGAGGUAAUUGCUAUUAUGAUCUUACCUUAAAACCAAUGUCGUGUUCAUUUCAUUCAGGAUGUAAUGGCUGCAUGAGUUUGAUACGAACCGCUCUUUCAAGUAGAAUUACUACGAUAUCGAAACAAUGAGGUAAAUGAACUGUAUAAUUUUCUACCAUAACUUCGUCCAAUCGCCGUUGAGCUGCCGCAUCUUCUAAAACCCUAUAUUGUUGAACUCCAGCCGGAGGCGCUCUUCUCUGUUUUCCGUCCCUCAAAUGAUAAGGUAUUUGAUAUAAAUUAAGUUAAUCAGGAAUACAUGCCUAGCUGUUAAAAGUGUAUCUUCCAAUGAAAACGAAAACCAUGCUUAAAAUCGACGAAUCGCACUUUCACGUUUGUGCAAGACAUGGUCAUAAUCAUUUAAAGAAUCAUUAUCUGCGUCAAAAGGUAUUUAUUGUGCAAUAAUAAGAAACAUUUUUGUUCGCAUACUAUUUCCUAGUAUUAAACGUUAAUAUAUAAAUCAUGGUUGAAUUGAAACUUAAGUGCUCACGUUAAAUGCUGAAUGAUAGGUACUUCUAUACAAAUCAAUUUAUUCUCGCGAAUGCACAAACAUUUUCAAUUCAUCUAAUAACAAGGUUUACCGUUAAGCUGCGGAUUGUAGUCGUAUUAAUUACCAUCUCUAUCAUCGCCAUAUUUUCUUUUUGCUUUGGAUACUUGCAGGAUAAUCGCUUACUUCGACACCCCAGUAGCAGCAGCAACAGCAGCCUCACCAGCUUUAGUGCAUCAAUUCGUAUUAACGUUUAAGUUCUAUCUUAGAGUUGCGAAAAAACUGCAGACGCACCCAUUAUACAAGUAUAAUAGCAAUAUUCUUAAGUAUCGCAUCUCAUUAUACAUUAUGGAAUUGUGACAAUAGAGUAUCUUCCGGUGUCACUUAGUAGUGAAAGUGUCGACAUGCUUACGCUAAAGGAUAAAACAAUACCAGCAAUGUCACGUAGGUUUGCUACUGGAUCAGCAACAAACAGCAGGUACCGUGCGCUUUUUCUUUCUCACCUAUUAAAUGUAAUGCGAUGCAGUGAAUACUUUUAACCAUUUCGUUUGGAGUAUAAAAUAAGGGCAUGAGCGUAGUCUCAAUUAGUGAUAUCCAAUGUUUAAGCAGUUGAUGUGAUGUCACGUUGUAUCUAUAACUGUAAUCUGUAGUAAUCCCAUUGAAUUCAAUUUCGUUUCUGAGAGGUUUCCUCUCACUUCAUCUUAAACAAUCUUUAUUGAAAUGUAGCUUUCGUCAAUACAAUCUUUUCUUACCUCCUAAUAUUUCUAGGAAGUUAAUAGUAUCUUUCGAUCUGUAUUUACACAACAUAAAGAAAAGCAUUGAAAUACGUGGACUUUGAAUAAACGUGAAUCCAGAAAGAUAUAAAAAAAAACAAUAUAACUGUAAAAGAGAGUGCGUGGCGCUAGUGCGGUUUUAGAGGCGUACCUUCAAUAUGAAAUGUGUUUUUCGAAAUAUUUAUUGAACAACCAUCAUAACGGAGUGGUAGCAGUAGAUGCCAUUUACAUCAGAAUCUGUUUCAAUAAAAAGUACAAUCUACGUCCUAAAUAAACUACAUA